CAAGAGGCCCAUGGUGACUCUGGACGAGCUGCAGAGAUCUACAGCUCAGAGCAGCAUCAGCUGCAGAGACGACGGUGGCGGAUUAACUGUUGGUUUGGUUCCUGAAAGCGAGCCCUCGAAUGCUGCGGAGCUGCUGUAACAAACUGUAGUGACAGAGUUUGCUGCGGGUCUGAUGCUGAAUGAAACUUCCCCAAAGAAAAGCCUCCUGCAGCACACUCCACUGUCACAACAAUCGCUCUAUUACUUCAUACAUGGAGAAUGUCUCCUGUCAGCCUGCAACUCCACACACCAACAUUAAGAAGUGCUGAAACCUCGGAGAAGCUGAGACAUUCGUCUCUUGAGAUCUAAUAAUGCCGCAGCAGAAGCAUCAGUGCUACAGGACACCAGCAGCAUGUCUGACGUCGUGGGAGGAAUGUGGGAGGAUGUUUGGAGCACUUUCUGGGAGUCUGUGCAAAUGUGAGCAGAGCGACCUCCAAAUCCACCGGACCAGCAGCAGCCAGUUCCAUCCCAAAACUGUUGAAAACUCAACUUCGAUCUGAUCCAACUGCACCAGUGUGAGGUAAACAUCCUCUAUACCCUGCUGCGUUUUGGAAUCUGGGAUAUGAGUGCACAAAAAAACAAAACACAAAAAAAAACAAGCACUGCUAGCCGGAGACGCUUUGUUUGAAAGAUUUAUGCACCAGGACCUCCUGCUUGCAUUCGUUCAUAUCAAUUCAGAUAUCUAAAAGAUGAGCGUGGCACCUGGACCGCUGUGUGAAAUGAAAUCAAACCAAGUGGAAACCAAGGUAACUAACUGCUGAAGCACAGGUGCACAAAAUGCUGUUUAUACCAGAAUUAAAAAGCUCAGUGGACAAAAAACAGAGUUAAAAAUGUGGUAAAAUACCCCAAAACACCAACAAAGAGUCACCCUCUGGCCCGCCUCAGAGCGCCAUCAGUCUGUGAACUUACAGGCGUAGGUCAUGGCGA